AGCUUUGCGCAGUGGCAGUAUCAUAGCCAAUGAGGCUUAUCCGAGGCGCGAUUAUUGCUAAAAGAAUUAGGACAUCCUAAAUUUUGCAGGCAAAUGGGUGGAACUAGAAAAUGUCAUUCUUAGUGAAGU
ensembl:snRNA LOC120100118 U4 spliceosomal RNA